rnacentral:rRNA from 1 species
UGAAUACGAGACGCUAAGGCGUCGAAGUAGUGUAUGUCAUACUUCCAAGAAAAGCUUGCACUGUCAUAGAUAAAAAACGCCUGUACCAUAACCGACACAGGUGGGUAGGUAGAGUAUACUAAGGGGCGCGAGAUAACUCUCUCUAAGGAACUCGGCAAAAUAACUCCGUAACUUCGGGAGAAGGAGUGCCUUAUUCGUAAGGUUGCAAUAACAAGAUCCAAGCAACUGUUUAUCAAAAACACAGGUCUCCGCUAAGUCGUAAGACGAUGUAUGGGGGCUGACGCCUGCCCAGUGCCAGAAGGUUAAAGAAGUUGGUUAGCAAUUGCGAAGCUGAUAACUGAAGCCCUGGUGAACGGCGGCCGUAACAAUAACGGUCCUAAGGUAGCGAAAUUCCUUGUCGGGUAAGUUCCGACCCGCACGAAAGGCGUAAUGAUUUGGAUACUGUCUCGGAGAGGGGCUCGGUGAAAUAGACUUGUCUGUGAAGAUGCGGACUACCUGCACCAGGACAGAAAGACCCUAUGAAGCUUUACUGUAACUUGAAAUUGAAAUUGGACUUUAUUCGCGCAGUAUAGGUGGGAGGCGUUGAUUAUAAUCUUGUGGGAUUAUUGGAGCCAUCAGUGAGAUACCACUCUUGUAAUGUUAGAUUUCUAACUUUGAAUCAUUAUCUGGUCAAAGAACAGCUUCAGGCGGGCAGUUUGACUGGGGCGGUCGCCUCCUAAACGGUAACGGAGGCGUACAAAGGUUUCCUCUGAACGGUUAGAAAUCGUAUCUAGAGUGUAAAGGCAUAAGGAAGCUUGACUGUGAGACCUACAAGUCGAGCAGGGACGAAAGUCGGUCUUAGUGAUCUGACGGUACUGAGUGGAAAGGCCGUCACUCAACGGAUAAAAGUUACUCUAGGAUAACAGGCUGAUCUCCCCCAAGAGUUCACAUCGACGGGGAGGUUUGGCACCUCGAUGUCGGCUCAUCGCAUCCUGGGGCGGUAGUACGUCCCAAGGGUUGGGCUGUUCGCCCAUGAAAGCGGUACGCGAGCUGGGUUCAGAACGUCGUGAGACAGUUCGGUCCAUAUCCGGUGUAGGCGUUAGAAUAUUGAGAGGAGCCUUCUUUAGUACGAGAGGACCGAGAAGGACAUACCUCUGGUGUACCAGUUAUCGUGCCAACGGUAAACGCUGGGUAGCUAUGUAUGGAGUGGAUAACCGCUGAAAGCAUCUAAGUGGGAAGCCCACCUCAAGAUAAGUAUUCUCACC